CUUUCUCUCUCUUCCUCUUUACAUCUUCUAAUAGUUUUUAAAGGGAAAAGUCCUCCAGUAACCUUUCUGGGGCAGACUAUCUGAAUUCUGGGAACAGGUUAGGGGAGGUAAGAUGAGAAUCUCACAGCUCAAGGUAUAAACUUUUUACUCCCCUGCAAUCAGUCUGCUGCCCAUUCUUGUGUCUGGGUCCAGAACUUCUUAGGUCAGUUUUUCCAGAAAACAAACCUCUGGUCUCUAGUAAGGGCAAGGCAGAGUUAGGCUGUGCUUUUUUCCCUCAAUGACCAAGAUAUCUAAUUUGCUUUGCUGCUUUUUUCACCUCUUUGCUCUGCUUCAGUUUCCCUUGUUGGCUCCUUAUUUUAUAUAUACACAAUAAGGAUUGAUGUUUCCCAUAUCUCUAUCAAAAGCCAUGUUCUUGCUCUACAAGCUGGCUCUGGUUAUUUCAUCUACACCCAGAUGCUGAUGACUCCCAAACUUCUAUCACCAACUGUGUAUCCAUCUUUAUAGUGUGUAUUUCCAAAUCAGCUUGUCCAAAAACCAUUUUCAAUACUGCCCCGUCUUCCUCCAAAUCUUCUCCUUCUCUUAUUAUUCUCCAUCUCAACAGGGAUAUCCUGACCCAUUCCGUCUCUCAAGCUAGAAACCUGGUAGCCAUCUAUGCUUCUCCUUCUCCUUCUGCCCUCAUUCAGCAAGUCCUGCUUAUUCACUAACAUCUCUAGCAGCUGAUUCCUCCUCUCCAUUUCCCCUACUAUGGCCUAAAUUGAGGGUUUUAACUACUUUUCAUCUGGGUUACUCUGAUACCCUCCUAAUUGGUCUUGUAAUCUCCAGUCUCAAAACUCUAGGAUUCAUUUUUCAUUCUUGCAGUUUUCCAAAGUGCAAGUUGAUCAUAUCAUAUCAUAUCAAAUCAUAUCAUAUCAUAAUCAUCUCUAUUUGAAAACCCCCCAAAAGUUCCUCAUUACUCACAGAAUACAAUGCUAUGUACUUGAGGCACUCUGUGACUGGGCUCUACUUCUCCAUUCUUCUGAGCACCUUUCCCUUCCCUUGGCAGGACCCCCACACUCCAGGCUUAAAUAAUUGCUUGACUGUCAGGCCAUGCCACCCUUCCUUGACUUGCUCAAUUUGUUCCUUCUCCCUGAAUUGCCCUUUCUCCUAUUUUUCUUUUGGCAGAUGUGUCCUCUGUUCAAAGACUAUUUUAUGAACAUUACCUCUUCUAGGAAGAUAAACAAUUAUUUCAGAAUCUAUCCUGGGGUUUAAAGGCCUGUCCACUGCUGUAGAAAGCUUGGCACUCACUGUAGAUAAACAAAACUAGCAGCUGAAAAAUGGCAGAAAGUUGGGCAAGCAAGAGCUAUUUCUGAUUCCUCUCUUUGCAACACAAACCAGUAGGAAUGACAUGGAAGCAGCUAACAAGUCCUGUGUGAGAACAUGCAGGUAAUGAGGUGGCAGAAUUACAGGAAGUCCAGGUACUGUCAUUUCUGGGUGGUGAAAGUUACUUCUAUUUCCCUCCAAAGGCACAACAGCAGGUGAUGGAUGCAAAACAGCCAGGAGUCCUGGACUGGGGAGUUCUCACCUCAGAAGCCACCAUGCCUGCGAAGAAAGGGGCCUGAGAGCUUUCUGUGAAGUAUAAACACACAGUACAUGCAUGAGUUACAAAUGGCCCUUUCCUCACCCUUUCCGACUCCCCCAGCUGAACACAAAGGCACUUCAAGAAUGAGGUUUCAGGGGUUUGUCUCAUGCUCUUCAAGUUCAUGAAGGACCCUCAAAAUAGGAUUAGAGGCUCUCAUUUUAAAGGACCAACCACCACCAAAAAGCAGGAUUUAGAUUUAGGAUAGAUAUUAGGGUGAAUAUCCAGAGAAGAAGGGCUGCUGAAAAAUGGACUCGAUACCUGAGAGAACUGAAAACCAUGAGACUGGAGCCAUACUCUUUUCUACCACCAAAAGGUUGUGUAACCUUUGGCAUAUCACCCUACCUUGGCCUAUGAUUUAGCAUGGAGCUAUAAUUUUUUAUGAUUCUGGCAUUCUCCCUUAGAGUCGUAAUAUAAUAUGCUUCACUAUUGUUUAGCAAGCACCUUACAAGAUCCUGCUACAAUGCUUUUCCUAAGAUCUAAUGAUUAAUUACUUAUCUGGUAAAAGUACUUUUGGCCUCUCUACUUCUGCUAAUGCUACAUAUAUGCAAAAUCACAGAACUGGUUAGAACUGAAGUAGACCUUAGAGAUCAAGAGGAUAAUUAUCUAUUACUAAAGAAGGCAAACAGCAACAAACCCUUUUAAAAAAAGCCCUGAGGCAUACAGAUGUCUAACCAUCUUAUUAAUGAUAAGACCAGGACCAAAAAAUCAGUUCUUCAGUUUCUCCUAGUACGUUAUUCAUUAUUUCAUAUGAUGAAACUACUUCAAGUGAGUAAAGUGUACAUGCAUACAUAGAUUGAAACACUCAUACUCGCUGGGUCAAAAUAAUACUGCUAAAUGAUUUUGAGCUACUAAGAUAUUUAUAUAGAAACUAUGUGAAAAAGUUCUCGUAAUAAUAUUUUGAAUAUUGUUGUCCUCAUUUAAAAAGUGCAGUGACCUCAGUUUUCACACAUAAUGUUAUUUUGCAUGCUAUUCUGUGACUAGCCAUAGACUUAGAACAACCUAGGUAUUUACCAUCUGUGUUUAAAAGAGUAGAACCCACUUCCGGCGUAGCCACGGCGGCUAACGCUACUACCAACCCAUCACAGCUGCUGCCAUUAGAGCUUAUGGACAAAUGUAUAGGAUCAAGAAUUCACAUUGUGAUGAAGAGUGAUAAGGAAAUUGUUGGUACUCUUCUAGGAUUUGAUGACUUUGUCAAUAUGGUACUGGAAGAUGUCACUGAGUUUGAAAUCACACCAUAAGGAAGAAGGAUUACUAAAUUAGACCAGAUUUUGCUAAAUGGAAAUAAUAUAACAAUGCUGGUUCCUGGAGGAGAAGGACUUGAAGUGUGAAUGAGUUUCCUUGACUUAUGCUAGAUUCUGUUUUGUCUCUUAAUGACAAGAAAAUGGAAUUUUUUUUCCCCCACCUUCUAAUGUUUAAAUCCCAUAAAGCUAAGUUUCCCGUUAAAGGGAAGUGCUUUGAAGGUGUGUACCCAUUUUUGUAAGUUAAUCAUGAUUAUCCUGGAAAAAGAAGAAAAGAGCUUCUUCUUUGAAGACAAGAAUAAAGGUGUUUUUGGUAAAAAAAAAAAAAAAAAAAAAAAGUAGAACCUCCGCAUGCUUUGUUCAAAUACUUUCCUAUUUUUCCAUUACUUAGUUUUUAUUUAUAGUUAACGUUGCAUAUGGGAACUAAUUCAAAUUCGCUUGUAUCUGUAAAACAGCAAUCUAUGCUGGAGAUAAGAAAUUAGCUUGCCAAAAAAGAAUUUAUCAGUUAUGACUGUGAUUAUUGGUGACUUCUGCAUCCUGGGGAGGUAAGGGGAUAAUUUGGGCUGAUGGUAGAGUGGGAAAUCUGCUGGAAGGAAGCAAACAAACUAUUAGGUGGUUGAGAACUCCCAAGAGAGUUUGUAUCAUCUGGUUCAAAAGUUUCCUAGAGCAAAUGACAGAACCUAUUAGCGGAAGUAUUUUUAAUUAGCUGAUCUGAAUCCAAAAGAGGAAUACAAGUCCAAAUCAAGAGAGGAAGUUUCUUGAACUUCCUAUUUAAAACAGAUGUUUUAACAGAACUCUGAUUAAUUUCUGAAUGUGAUAAUAACAGGAUUGAACCCUGAAGCAGUUUAUGAAAAUGAGAAACUUAAAAGUAAAUCAUAUCUAAGUACUUCUAAACGGUAUAUAGAAUGCAGGGCAUUUUUGCACUGGACAAGUUGUUCUGAGGCCAGUAGGUUCAAAGCUGAUGUUUGGUAGUUGGUCGGGGGAGGGGAAGAAUAGCAAGCUCUAACCUGGUACCUCUAGGCAGAGCCCCUGGUGGGUAGGGGGCCACAGAACAUGGGAAGCAGGCUAUAUAUAGGCAAACUGAUGCAAAAUCCAAGAGGACAUGUUUUUGUUCUGUAACUUGGUGUACAGCUUCCUAUGGAUAAAGCAGUCCUCCUUUGCUGAUGUAACAUCUUGUUAUAAGUUGAAUUUCUGGUAUGUUUUGUCUUUAGUAUGUGAACUUAGAGGCUAGUUAUUAAAGUGAUGUGGCCUUAUUUGCUAGAGAAGAAUGUUUUGUUUGUUUGUUUUUAAUUUAGAGCUCAAGUGUUCCUUUGCAGUGUUUGGCAGUGUAUAAACAUGAAUUACUUGGGAGGGAGGUAUUGGUUUUUUAGGGAGUACAUCUUUCCCACUCUACAGCCAAGGAGACCUCCUGGGAGGAAACAGAAUUCUAAUUUGUUGUGAGGUUGCCUCACUCUGCACUCAGGAGACAUCCUCCCCCAAAUGCCUCCCCAAAUCCUCUCUCAUGCAUACAGCUUUGGAUCUCAAGUCAUAUGACUGGCUAGUAGUUUUGGGAUACCACCCAAGGAGGAUAAAUAUUUAGUAAGCUCAGAAAUCAAGUGUAAUUAGGAAUUGAUAACAUGUUGAACUUCCUUUCCAGGAAGUUAUCCAAUAGCUAGUGUACUAAAAGACUUAAUAAAAACUAUACCAUUUCACAAUAAUGUCGUAAUAACAAAUAAUGUAUUUAAUGUGUUACCUAAAGUUUUCUUAAAGAAAAAAACAUCAAGGUAACACUAGAGAGAAACAUAUAGGGGAAAUUGUCUCUAAGUACACUUUACAAGCCACUAAUGUCAAAAAUAUAUAAAAACUCAGUGUCUCAUAUGUAUAUGUUCAUUGAAAUUUAGAGUUUUUUAAACUUUCAAUUAGGAAAAAAAGGAAAUUAUGUUACUAAACAUCUUCAUAUCAGAGGGCCCCAAAUUUAAGUGCUUUGUUAUUUUGAGUUUGCUGACAGAGGUGGUAAAUAUCUAUGGUCUUUGGUUCCAAUCUGCCUAUAAAGUGCUCUCCAAAUCACUAUUGUCAGAAAAGUGGUAUCUGUAAGAAGAAAAAUUAUGAUACUUGUGCAAAAUUAUGAUCUGUAAGAAGAAAAGUUAUGAAAAAUUAUACCUGAUUUUACUGAGGUUAUUUUAGAGGCCCCAAAUGACCUAUAUUUGAAUCUUGUUCUGGGAUGAAAUGAAGACAGUAGGAGAUGGAAUAAAAUUUGCUCAUUGAAUCUGUAAUUUCAUAAGAUUUACAACAUUAUUUUAUUGUACUAUAUAUAAAAAGACAGGAAGAGACUUGGGAAAUCAAGUGUCUCUUUUUUUUACAUAAAGAAUGGCAUUAAUCCCCAAAGCACUAAUUUUUAAAAAUGUAUUUAAUUUUUUUUUGCUGGCAACAUGGACUGCAUGUACCUCAGACAAUUUUACUGUAUAAUGAGUUACUUCAAAAUGCAAUGGCUGAAAGCAAUAUAUUUUUUUUGAGACUGAGUCUC